rnacentral:rRNA from 1 species
GACGAACGCUGGCGGCGUGCCUAAUACAUGCAAGUCGAACGCAGUGGGGACGGGUGAGUAACACGUGGGUAACCUCCCAUCAGAGGGGAUAACACUUGGAAACAGGUGCUAAACCGAUACGGGUGGAUGGACCCGCGGGGCAUGAGCGAGUUGGUGAGGUAACGGCUCACCAAGGCCACGAUGCAGAGCCGCCCUGCUAGGGUGAUCGGCCACCAUGGGACGGUGCCACGGCCCAGACUCCUACGGGAGGCAGCAGUAGGGAAUCUUCGGCAAUGGACGAAAGUCUGACCGAGCAACGCCGCGUGAGUGAAGAAGGUUUUCGGAUCGUAAAACUCUGUUGUUAGAGAAGCGGUAUCUAACCAGAAAGCCACGGCUAACUACGUGCCAGCAGCCGCGGUAAUAC